UACAGAGGGUGCGAGCGUUAAUCGGAAUUAUUGGGCGUAAAGCGUGCGUAGGCGGACAUUUAAGUCUUGUGUGAAAUCCCCGGGCUCAACCUGGGAACUGCAUAAGAUACUGGAUGUCUAGAGUAUGGUAGAGGAAAGUGGAAUUCCCGGUGUAGCGGUGAAAUGCAUAGAUAUCGGGAGGAACAUCAGUGGCGAAGGCGGCUUUCUGGGCCGAUACUGACGCUGAGGCACGAAAGCGUGGGGAGCAAACAGG
rnacentral:rRNA from 1 species